GAGAGAGAGAGAGAGAGAGAGAGACCAACUGAAUCUGGCUCCACCAAUGGGAUCCGUGACUGCACAGCGUCAGCCUGAUUCUUGCCUGGUCUCAGAACUUUUCAUCGAAGGAUGGCUCAGUUUCCCUCCAGGCCCCAACAAUGUAUCUACAUACCAUCUCUCAGAAGAUAUUUGCUUCCUCCUUUACUGACCCAAUGUUCCAGCCUAUGAAGAUCCUUUGAAAUCCUAACUCAUCCAGUGUGUCAGCUAUUCCUUCCAAAUUGGCAUCAUCUGCAAAUAUUAUCAUUAUAUUAUAUAAUAUGUAAAAUAUUAUAUAUCAUAUAAUAGUAUAAAAUGUAUAUCAUGCAUAGCAUGUCAUCCUUGUUUGUAUUCAAGUUGUUGAUAAAAAUGUUAAAUGAUAUAGGGCCAAAAAAGAUCCCUGGGAUAUUCCAACGGAGACCUUCUUCCAAUAUGAACAUUGCAUCAUUCAUAUCUACUCUUUGAGACAAUUCAAUCAGUUCCUCCAUCUAAUUGUACCAUCAGAUAGCCUACCUUCCUCCAUCCCCAACCCCAACACAGCAUCAAUUAUUCAACUGAAAAUUUUACAAAGCUCCUAAUUAUAUACCCAUACCUUUUCUCUUAGCUUCUAGUUUUUAUAUUUUGACCCAAACAGAAAUAAAGUUAAACAUUUAACACUA